rnacentral:rRNA from 1 species
CACGUAGGCGGGACUUUAAGUCAGGUGUGAAAGACCGAGGCUCAACUUCGGGGUUGCACAUGAAACUGGAGUUCUUGAGGGCAGGAGAGGAAAGUGGAAUUCCUGGUGUAGCGGUGAAAUGCGUAGAAAUCAGGAGGAACACCGGUGGCGAAGGCGACUUUCUGGACUGACCCUGACGCUGAGGUGCGAAAGCGUGGGUAGCAAACAG